CAAGGUGCCUCAGACAAAGGUCAAAUGGGCAUCAUAGAACUGGGGCAGUGUUGUAUCUUUGGAGAAAAAUAAUUUUAGGAUAUGUUUGAGUGGAUGCUCUUCUAAGAAAGUUACCUUUGGUGGGACCCCAGCGUUAGAGCGAGAGCAGUGGAUAUCCUUACGCAGGUCAGAGGCAGUUAUUUCUUCACUCAGCUUUCUUCUGUGCCCUGUGUCUUACAUCUCAGCAGGAGCUUCAAAAGCAUGGCUUCAUAACUACCAAAAUAAAUUAUCACCUCAGACUGUAAUUUUAUCACCUCAGAUAACUUUUAAACCAAUCUUUUCAAAAUAUACAUAAGUAAAAGCAGAGUAAAUAGAAGGUAAAGUGAAAAGUAUGUCUUCUGGUGCCCAGAGGUGGCCACUAUUAAGAAUCUUUCCAGAAAGUGUCUCCAGAUCUUCACACAAAUGACAGUCAUUUUACACAGCAUCCUCAUGAGUUUUACUUAAUAUGCUGAUCUGUGGUGCGUUCAUGUGGUCGCACUGCCACUGGUAGGGCUGUGCCAUGUGCCAGUGGACCUUUUUUGUACCAGGGGAGUAUGUUUACAGACACAGGUAACACAAAACCCAAUUCAAACUGCCCUGGACAACGAGGGGGAGGGUUUUGGCUCCCAGAAACUGGAAAGUCUGGAGGUGGGGGUGAGUUUCAGGGUUGGUUUAAUCCAAGCUGGCUCAGUGACGUCAGCAGGAUCAGUUUUCUUUCCUGUCUGCUCGGCCUUCCAGUAUCCCAAUCAUGUGAGGCAGAGGAGGAAUUACUCUGUCUUGCACAAGCCAGGAGCCUCCCUCUGCUGGGGCCGACAUGGUGCCAGCGUAAGACAGGCUCUACUGUCCAUGAGAUGUCACAACCCAGUUUCUGCCUUCCUGUUUCAUCAUGACACCUUCUUAUGCCUAUGCUGGUUGCCAUAUCACUGUAUUGUAUCAUGUUCGAUCCUGUGGAUGUGGCUUGGUUUAAUCUGAACUUCUUUUGUUGAACACAUCUGGUUAUUCUGAAAUUUUCACUAUUUUUGACAACUUUUGCAGUAAUUACUCUCAUUUAUGUCACAAAAUCCCCAUAGAAUAUGAGCACUGAGCAGUGUCCUGGCAGGAUCCCAGGUAGCAGACAAGG
rnacentral:lncRNA from 1 species